GAUAACAAUUUGAAUUUCAAAAACUGAGACACAAUCACCGUCGAUCCAGCUAAAUCUGACCGUUGAUUCCUUCUCUCUCCUCAGUUUUGAAAAUCACAACAUCUUCACUAUUUUUUUUUCAUAUUUUAAUGAUUUAAAAUUAAUCACAGUCUCAAAUCCCACUCUCCCUGAAAAAAAUAAAUAAAAAGAAAAAGAAAAAGAAAAUAAAUUGAGCCGUUUGAAUCACUUUUUCUAUAUAUAAAAAAAAAAAAAGAAGCCCUUCAUCCCUACUGUAACCCUAAUUUCCAUCUCCUCUCUUUCUCUCUCUAAGUUCUUUGUCUCUCUGCUUUCUGGUUUUUGUUGUAAUCGAAAAUGAGGGAAAUUCUUCACAUCCAGGGAGGCCAAUGCGGUAACCAGAUCGGAGCUAAGUUCUGGGAGGUUGUUUGCGCCGAGCACGGCAUUGAUUCCACCGGAAAGUACCAGGGAGACUCAGAUCUUCAGCUUGAGAGGAUCAAUGUCUACUAAAACGAAGCCAGUUGCAGUAGAUUUGUUCCCAGAGCUGUUCCCAUGGAUCUUGAGCCUGGAACCAUGGACAGUAUCAGAUCUGGACCUUACGGCCAGAUCUUUAGACCUGACAACUUUGUUUUCUGUCAAUCUGGUGCUGGAAACAACUGGGCCAAAGGUCAUUACACCGAGGGUGCUUAGUUGAUCGAUUCCGUUCUCGAUGUCGUUCGUAAAGAGGCCGAGAACUGCGAUUGUUUACAAGGUUUCCAGGUCUGUCAUAGGAGGAACUGGAUCUGGAAUGGGUACCCUUUUGAUUUCGAAGAUCAGAGAGGAAUACCCUGACCGGAUGAUGCUUACGUUCUCUGUUUUCCCUUCACCGUCAGUUGUUCACCAUCGCCAAAGCAAAAACCAAAUCCUAGUGUUAGCCUAAACUAGAUAGUAGUGCCCAUAAAUUCGGACAAGGAUAGGAUAUUAAUUAUCACCAAACAAACAGGUAUUUUAGGUCAGACUUAGUUUAGCAUCUUCUUGCCCCUUAUGAACCCCCCCAAUUCCCAACUCCACAGACCAAUAAACCAUAACCCUUGUUAGCUUCUUCUUCGCCAUUUUUUACAUUUUUUUCCCAUGAUUUCAUAGUUUUAUUGGGGUUUCUCUUUUCCAUUGAUUGAUAGAGCAUCGGUGAUGAGUCUCACAUAAUUGUUAUCCUUGCACUUUGAUUGUCAGUGAAGAAACUCCUGGGGAAUUUUUUCUCUGAGGUGCUCUCUAUCCCAUUCUCUUCUUAAUUUUGUGUGUAUGUAUUGGAUCGAUGAUGUUUAAAAUUACUGCGUUAUCUAUCUGCAAUUUCUUAUCAAGGAAUUGAAGACGAUUAUAGUUGACUGAGAUCUAAUUUUCUUAUGAUUUUUUUUUCAAUUGGGUUUUCUUUAUAUGCUUUUGUUAUAUUUAUUUUCUAGAUAAUGAUGUCUAUCUGAUGUGACAUUGAUAUUUAUAUACGCAAAUGUCAGUAAAUGUGAACUCAAUUUGUAUU